GCCGGUCGAAUACUAGAACCCUGGUAUUAAUUAAAGGGCUGCAGUAUAUUGACUGUACAAAGGUAGCAUAAUCAUUAGUCUUUUAAUUGAAGACUUGUAUGAAAGAUUUGAUGAAAUAUUAACUGUCUCUUAAUUAAAAUUAAAAUUUAAUUUUUUAGUAAAAAAGCUAAAAUAUAUUUAAAAGACGAGAAGACCCUAUAGAGUUUUAUUAUUAAUUUAUUUUUAAUAUUAAAUAAAUUUUUUUUUUAUAAAUAUAAAUUAAUAAUUUUAUUGGGGUGAUAAAAAAAUUAAAUAAACUUUUUUAAAUAACUAAAACAUUAAUGUAUGAAUUUUUGAUCCAUAAUUUAUGAUUAAUAGAAAAAAUUACCUUAGGGAUAACAGCGUAAUUUUUUUUUUUAGUUCAAAUAAAAAAAAAAGUUUGCGACCCCGAUGUUGGAUUAAGAUAAAAUUUAAAUGUAAAAAUUUAAAAUUUUGAUCUGUUCGAUCAUUAAAAUCUUACAUGAUCUGAGUUCAAACCGGGG
rnacentral:rRNA from 1 species